rnacentral:rRNA from 1 species
CACCCCCUCCCCCUCCCCCUCCCCCUCCCCCAGCAGCCGCCGCAAGAGAGNNCAGGGACGCACCGAAUCCGUCUCUUUCUUCCUCGCGGGGUCGUCUCCGACUCCGAGGCCUCCGACAUGGCGAACGCUGCGUCGGGCAUGGCUGUGGACGACGAAUGCAAGCUCAAGUUCCUGGAGCUGAAGGCGAAGCGAACCCACCGCUUCAUCAUCUACAAGAUAGACGACAAGAAGAAGAUGGUUGUUGUGGAGAAGGUCGGCGAGCCUGCCCUGAACUACGAGGAUUUUGCUGCUAGCCUCCCCACCAAUGAAUGCAGAUACGCGAUAUUCGACUAUGACUUUGUCACCGAGGAGAACUGCCAGAAGAGCAAGAUAUUCUUCGUCGCAUGGUCUCCUGACACUGCACGCGUGAGGAGCAAGAUGAUCUACGCGAGCUCCAAGGAGAGGUUCAAGAGGGAGCUCGAUGGCAUCCAGGUGGAGCUCCAGGCGACAGACCCGACCGAGGUCGGCUUUGAUGUGAUCCAAGGCCGUGCCAACUGA